rnacentral:rRNA from 1 species
GUCCGGUGAAGUGUUCGGAUUGCGGCGACGUGGGCGGUUCGUUGCCGUCGACGUCGCGAGAAGUCCACUGAACCUUAUCAUUUAGAAGAAGGAGAAGUUGUAACAAGGUUUCCGUAGGUAAACCUGCGGAAGGAUCAUUGUCAAAACCUGUCGAGGCAGAGAGACCCGCGGACCUAUUGUGUAACAGAUGGCCCGAUGAAGGCACGCGCGUUUACACUGGGCACAACAACGAACCCCGACACAGGACGCGUCAAGGAAAACUAUAAAGAUAGCAUGCUCCUGCCUGCCCAAAAACUACGCGCGCGGGGGAAGCGUUUUCUUACAUGAAUCAAAAUGACUAUCGACAACGGAUAUCUCAGUUCUCAUAUCGAUGAAGAAGGUAGUGAAAUGCGAUACAUGGUGUGAAUUGCAGAAUCCCAUGAACCAUCGAGUCUUAGAGCGUAAGUUGCACCCGAAGCUUUCUGGCAGAGGGCACGUCUGCCUGGGUGUCACGCACCAUCGCCCUCCCACCCCCUCGUCGUGGGGCGCAGGCCAGGGAGGAUAAUCGUCUCCCGUGUGCUUCCCGUCUGCAGUUGGCCUAAAUUUGAGCCACUGGCAACGAGCGCGCGUCGAGAUUUUGGGAACCUCGCAACCCUGUGGGUCCUAUGUCAUAUGCUCGCAACGUAGCCCUAGAUCAGGCGGGAUUACCCGCUGAGUUUAAGCAUAUCAAUAAGUGGAGGAAAAGAAACUUUCGAGGAUUCCCCUAGUAACGGCGAGCGAACCGGGGAAUUC